AGAGUUUGAUCCUGGCUCAGGACGAACGCUGGCGGCGCGCCUAACACAUGCAAGUCGAACGAGAGAGAGGGAGCUUGCUUCCUCGAUCGAGUGGCGAACGGGUGAGUAACGCGUGAGGAACCUGCCUCAAAGAGGGGGACAACAGUUGGAAACGACUGCUAAUACCGCAUAAGCCCACGGCUCGGCAUCGAGCAGAGGGAAAAGGAGCAAUCCGCUUUGAGAUGGCCUCGCGUCCGAUUAGCUAGUUGGUGAGGUAAUGGCCCACCAAGGCGACGAUCGGUAGCCGGACUGAGAGGUUGAACGGCCACAUUGGGACUGAGACACGGCCCAGACUCCUACGGGAGGCAGCAGUGGGGAAUAUUGCACAAUGGGGGAAACCCUGAUGCAGCGACGCCGCGUGGAGGAAGAAGGUCUUCGGAUUGUAAACUCCUGUUGUUGAGGAAGAUAAUGACGGUACUCAACAAGGAAGUGACGGCUAACUACGUGCCAGCAGCCGCGGUAAAACGUAGGUCACAAGCGUUGUCCGGAAUUACUGGGUGUAAAGGGAGCGCAGGCGGGAAGACAAGUUGGAAGUGAAAUCCAUGGGCUCAACCCAUGAACUGCUUUCAAAACUGUUUUUCUUGAGUAGUGCAGAGGUAGGCGGAAUUCCCGGUGUAGCGGUGGAAUGCGUAGAUAUCGGGAGGAACACCAGUGGCGAAGGCGGCCUACUGGGCACCAACUGACGCUGAGGCUCGAAAGUGUGGGUAGCAAACAGGAUUAGAUACCCUGGUAGUCCACACCGUAAACGAUGAUUACUAGGUGU
rnacentral:rRNA from 1 species